GCCACUGUGGCGUAGGGGUUUGAGUGUUGGACUCCAACUCUGGAGACCAGGGUUCGAAUCCUGGCUCAGCCA
rnacentral:tRNA from 1 species